AGCUGGGGGCGCGUGGAAGGGUCGGCUCCGGAAGGCAGCCAUUGAGAGGAGAGAGGGGGAAAAGCUCCGAGCGGUGCGUGUGGAGGGUGCAAGUGCGUGCAAGUGGGCUGGCAUACCUAAUUGUGCUGUCAGCCAAAGCCCACCAAGUUCAUCAUGUAAAGUCACACGCCUGAAUCUUCUUGAUUUGCCAAGAUGAGCAAUCAGAAGAAAAGAAAAUAUAUGGAACUUGCUUGUACCUGGAGUUUAUUGUCUGGAGAGAAUGGAGACAGCACAGAAGAACAAAGAGUGAAGAUUGCUGGAGUCCUUCCUCUUGUGGCUGAUUCCUGAAAUCCAAGGAAUGUUUAGUUGUGGGGAAUAGAAACCAGUUAUUCUCAACAGACCACUCACUUGCCUGCUCAUUUCUGUGACAGUCUAAUGUCUGCCCAUCCAUACCCUGCUUCUUCAUAUUCACCUGUUAGCACCCAUCUAGUCACAACUUCUUCCCAACUCUAAGUCUUACUCUUGCUUUUAAAAGUGUGCAAGAAGUAAACAAUUAUAGGAAUGUGGAGCUGGGUGUGUGUUUGUGUAUUCUUAUUUAUAUAUCUAUAUGUAAAGUAUCUGGAUUGAGUGUGUGUAAAAUAUGUAUUUGAAUGUAAGUCAUCAUAUAUAUCUUACAUAUCUAUCAAAUUAAUAUUUGGCAAAGCCCUGUUCUUUCCCAUUAGCAAGUUAGGCUCAACGGAAGCCACAACAGAAGCAAGAGGGUAAUAUUCAGUGGAAAGAAAAUAGCAGAAAACAAUCGCUUCAAAUAAUUUGCUUCAAAUUCUCUGGCUUCAUUUUCAUGUAAAGAGCUUACAGGUAGAUGUCUUUUCUAUUUUACUCUCUUUUUCUAUUUUGAGAAUAGUCUCUUCCAAGAACCCAACUACCCAUCCCUACCCUGCCCCGCUCCUCUCUAAUUUUUCCCUCUUAUUCACUGGGGCAACAAUCAUUGCAUUGCUUUUUUGGC